ensembl:lncRNA
AGCAGCUGUCUGUCAGUAAGUGUGCUUCAUUCACGGCAUAAAUGAUGCUUACGGAUGCAUUUGGAAGGUAAAACAUGUAAAUACUGGCGGGUGUGCAAUUAAUCUGCUUCAAUUGUGAAACUUCAUACAAGUUUAUAUACUUAUUUGAUGAUGUGUGUUUGUGUGUAAUUGACAGAAAGCAAAAUACGACAAAGUGCCAUUGUGCAUAUAUGGACGAGCUAAGCUCAGAACUGAUUCAGAAAUGUUGAAGAGAAUCGAGAUGCAUGAGAGAAUCAGGGUCUGAAUUGAACGAAGCUUGGGGCAAAAAUGACACCAAAAUUGGCAAAAUAUUUAGCAUAUGUACUUCAUGAAUAUAAAAAAAUUAAAAUUCAGGGUAAAUGUAUUGACUCUUUUGUAUAUAUUUGUACAUAACUUACAAGAGUGAUAACACUUUUUUUUUCUCUGUCCCAGAUGGCAGAGGCCUGGCGGGAAGUGGAUGGGGUUCGUUCCCGGGCUCAAGAGCUGCAGUCUCAAGUCGAGGAGCUGCAGGAGGAAGUGGCCCUCCAGGAGAAGAGUCACAACGACUCAUCUUCACUGUCUGAGCUUGAAAACAAUCUGGACGUGGCAGACUGGAGCCUGGACAAAGAACAGCAGGUCUGUCAGGAGCUGCACUACAUCCUGGAACUGCUUCAGCCUGUGGCCUACAGAUCAGAGGCUGAUCAGGACUCAGAUGACAGCCUGCAGGGCAUGCUGGGACAACUGAAACACGCAGCUCAGUGGAGGAGUGAGACACUACAGGUACAGUUGGGUUCUAGGGGACAGAAACGUAACAGAAGGUGACAUACAAUGUGCUGCAUAUAACAUAUCUACCUCCCUGGAGUAAUAUGACAUCUCAUACUGUCUCACAUUUCAGCAACAAUGAUUCACAUUCAUCACAAGCAUACAUCUUCAUACAGUAUGUCUUCAUUCAGACCAUAACGGUUUGGGUCCUCGUGGCUUUUUUGUCAUUGGGUAAAUCUCACAUAUAACAUUCCUGGAUCAUAUUCCAAACACAUCAAACAGAGGAAAAAAUAAGAUACUUUAAUGUGCUCAAAGAAAAUGAAGCAAUAUAUAUAUAUAUAUUCAUUUGUGUUUAUACAUCUUGGUAUAGUGUUGUAUUUGUGUAAAUAAAAUCCACAACCCCUGGAAAAUUUGUGAACA